AGUGAACGCUGGCGGCAGGCCUAACACAUGCAAGUCGAGCGGCAGCGCGUCCGACCACCCUCGGGUGGUCGGAUGGCGGCGAGCGGCGGACGGGUGAGGAAUGCAUCGGAAUCUGCCUCGUUGUGGGGGAUAACGUAGGGAAACUUACGCUAAUACCGCAUACGACCUACGGGUGAAAGUGGGGGACCUUCGGGCCGUCACGCGAUGAGAUGAGCCGGUGCCGGAUUAGCUAGUUGGCGGGGUAAAGGCCCACCAAGGCGACGAUCCGUAGCUGGUCUGAGAGGAUGAUCAGCCACACUGGAACUGAGACACGGUCCAGACUCCUACGGGAGGCAGCAGUGGGGGAAUAUUGGACAAUGGGGGCGAACCCUGAUCCAGCCAUGCCGCGUGUGUGAAGAAGGCCU
rnacentral:rRNA from 1 species